GGAAUCUGAAAGGUAUUCAAAGGAAAGGCUAUUUCCAAAUUUUAAUGAAUGCUGAGUGCUACCCUUUGCCAAGACUGAUCAAGUAUAAGGGUAGGCAGAGUUGAUUAUGGGCUCAACUUCAAGAUGCAACUGUCAACUGAGACAUUCCUUUUGGAUUGCUAACAGGGAAAUGACGUUAGACAAAAAGCAAGUUCCUGCAAUUUUCUUAUUCAAGUUCAAAAUGUGUUAUAAAGCAGCGGAGACAACUAGCAACAUCAACAAUGCAUUUGCGCCAGGAACUGGCUAACAACGUACAGG